UGUUUCGGCAAGGGGGUCAUCCCGACUUACCAACCCGAUGCAAACUGCGAAUACCGGAGAAUGUUAUCACGGGAGACACACGGCGGGUGCUAACGUCCGUCGUGAAGAGGGAAACAACCCAGACCGCCAGCUAAGGUCCCAAAGUCAUGGUUAAGUGGGAAACGAUGUGGGAAGGCCCAGACAGCCAGGAUGUUGGCUUAGAAGCAGCCAUCAUUUAAAGAAAGCGUAAUAGCUCACUGGUCGAGUCGGCCUGCGCGGAAGAUGUAACGGGGCUAAACCAUGCACCGAAGCUGCGGCAGCGACGCUUAUGCGUUGUUGGGUAGGGGAGCGUUCUGUAAGCCUGUGAAGGUGUGCUGUGAGGCAUGCUGGAGGUAUCAGAAGUGCGAAUGCUGACAUAAGUAACGAUAAAGCGGGUGAAAAGCCCGCUCGCCGGAAGACCAAGGGUUCCUGUCCAACGUUAAUCGGGGCAGGGUGAGUCGACCCCUAAGGCGAGGCCGAAAGGCGUAGUCGAUGGGAAACAGGUUAAUAUUCCUGUACUUGGUGUUACUGCGAAGGGGGGACGGAGAAGGCUAUGUUGGCCGGGCGACGGUUGUCCCGGUUUAAGCGUGUAGGCUGGUUUUCCAGGCAAAUCCGGAAAAUCAAGGCUGAGGCGUGAUGACGAGGCACUACGGUGCUGAAGCAACAAAUGCCCUGCUUCCAGGAAAAGCCUCUAAGCAUCAGGUAACAUCAAAUCGUACCCCAAACCGACACAGGUGGUCAGGUAGAGAAUACCAAGGCGCUUGAGAGAACUCGGGUGAAGGAACUAGGCAAAAUGGUGCCGUAACUUCGGGAGAAGGCA
rnacentral:rRNA from 1 species